rnacentral:lncRNA from 1 species
GAGGAGGAGGUGAAGUUUUACCAAAAGGAGGGGGUGGUGGAGGAGGAGGGGAACCAUGACCUGGUGGCGGAGGAGGAGGUGGAGGAAUUGAGCGUACAUGACUGAAAGGAGGAGGUGGAGGUGGUGGUGGGGAUCCAUAACUCAGUGGAGGAGGCGGCGGUGGGGGUGGAGAUCCAUAACUCGGUGGAGGAGGGGGAGGUGGGGGUGGAGAUCCAUAACUUGGUGGAGGAGGGGGAGGGGGAGGCACUGAAUAUGCAUUACUAAAAGGAGGAGGUGGAGGUGGUGGUGGAGCUGUUUUACUAGGUGGAAGAGGUGGAGAUCCAUAACUUGGUGGAGAAGGGGGAGGGGGAGGUACUGAAUAUGCAUUACUAAAAGGUGGAGGUGAUGGUGGAGCUGUUUUACUAGGUGGAAGAGGUGGAGAUGGAGAAGUGGAAAAACCAUUAAUAGGAAGGAUCUUGAGUGCUGGUGUAGGUGCAACACUCGUAUAAGGCAGAGGAGG